GAACACAAAAUGGCGACACGUGGUUAGCAUUCGUCGCCAACGAGAAAUUGGGGUCGGCCCGAAAGCUCUAGAAUGCACCCCUAUUCCUCCCCGGGGCCAUUCCCGCUCAACGAGUUUUAUGACCUAAAAAACCCCACAGGCUGGUCUGAAGGUCGGAGGCCUAAUUUUAACGCGUUUUCCUCCCUUUAAUUUGAAACGGGAACGCGAAUAACUAAAAUGUGGGCACAAUAUUUAACCUCUUGCUUUUUUAAAGCUUAAUAAUGGAUAGUAGGGGGCAGUAUCAAGGGAUAAUUUGGGUCCCCACAGUACCAAAGCAUUUAGAAACCUCUGCUUAAUUUAAGGAAUGAGAUAAAUUACUGCUUUUCUAGAUUUGGUAGCAUGGGCUGUUGUGCUGGAGAGAACGAGAGCUACGAAGAGACUAGAAUGCCUCUGACUUUUUCAUAGGACAGUUGGCCGAGGAAGACACUUAAAGAUGAAGUGCUUAAUUCAAGGUCACAGAAUGUCGGGGAUGGACCUCCAGAUUUCCUUACUGAUGGAGUCUCACUCUGUAGCCCAAGCUGGAGUGGCGUGAUCUCGACUCACUGCAACCUCCGCCUCCUGGGCUCAAGUGAUUCUCGUGCCUCAGCCUCCUGAGUAGCUGGGACUACAGGUACGCACU
rnacentral:antisense_RNA from 1 species